UACGUAGGAGACGAGCGUUGUCCGGAAUUACUGGGCGUAAAGCGUGCGUAGACGGUUGCGUAAGUCAGAUGUGAAAGCCCCGGGCUCAACCUGGGAAUUGCAUUUGAGACUGCGUAGCUAGGGUGCGGAAGAGGGAAGCGGAAUUUCCGGUGUAGCGGUGAAAUGCGUAGAUAUCGGAAGGAACACCAGUGGCGAAAGCGGCUUCCUGGUCCAGCACCGACGUUCAGGCACGAAAGCGUGGGGAGCAAACAGG
rnacentral:rRNA from 1 species